AUCUCUCUGGAGAUUCCUGUGUAUUAGUCUUGCUGAAGAGUCCUCAUGCUGUAUGAUGGCAUGCAAUGCAAUGCAGCAGAUGUACUGCAGUAACACCAGAGCACCUUCUGGGAAGCAUGCAGGAAAAAACAUAGUAGAUCUAAACUACUUCUCAACUCUGAACUGUAGCCUGACUUGGAUUAAAGGCUUUGAACAACUCUGUCAAAGGACUGCAGUAAUACCAAAGGAAAAUAACAUUUGUCCAUGACACCUGUUUGGAAAUUGCUAUGAAGGGCAAGAAAUACCAGAAAGUCCUUCACUGCAAGGCAGUGAAAGAAUACCUGGAAACUCUAGAAGCAUUUGGGCCUCUACUGCUUAAUGAAAUAUAUAGGUUUGCAUGGAAGUAACAUGUGACAGAGCAAUCCCUCCUUAGAUUAAACUCUUUCUGGUUAUGAAGAGAACUGCAGAAGUCUCAUCCUUCUUGGGUUAUAUUCCAAAGCUUCUGACAGUGUGUAGCUCCCAGUCAUUCACAUGAAAGCAAAGCAAGACUUGCUUAUCACUGAUGUGCACAGACUGGGACUGAUGCUGAAGAUAAACACAGCCAUCUACCAGUAGGUCUGUAAGGUUACGUGAUAGGUAAUGGAGGUCUACCCCACAGGAAAGACUUGGCUAGCCAAUAGGCAUCCAGGGGUUGCUAAACAGGAUGCAGGACUUCUGGACCAACAGCAUGACUGAGAUAUUUUAGAAUACCUUAGGCGAUGCUGUGAAGCUGAAUCCUACAAAACGUAUAGAUGUAGUAGGAGCUGAAGAACCUACCUGAUUCCAUUGGAUGUGCUGUCCACGUCAACUCAGCAUCCUAUAACUACAGAGAGAAUUCAGACAUCUCUGCCUAGACAGUUCGAAGUAUCAACAGUCCCCAUCCAGCACAUUGCACCAGUAACCACGUAGUCUAGGAACGUUUUUCAUCUUCUGGUCUCAAAAAGAACUAGAAAGGAGUGAGGUAUCUUGCUUGUAGUCACGAUCCAAGCAGAGUAUACAUUAGAAGUACUUUAGAAAGUUAUUACUACAGCUGGCCCUUAAAACAUUUAUCAGAUGGAACUCUACUCAAAACACUUGGACAUACAUCUGAAUUGCUGCGUUGUACCAAGUUAUAGGGCACAAUCUAACUCAGAUGUCUGAAGAUAAGUGACAUCAGAUUUUAUCUGCAAGUGACCCUCUCCAUCAAUUUUGAAGAGCCUCAGGAGAUGGACUCUAGCAGGAAUUCAACUUGAUGAUCCUUGUGGGGCCCCUUCCAGCUCAGGGUAUUUUAUGAUGAUUCUAAGACAGCCCAUUUGACUAGCAGACAGUGGGCCAGUUAUAAACAUUCCCUAUUUCUUUUCUCUAUAGUUGACUGGAUGCACAUUAACUGUAACAGGAGUUUGGAUGCACAUAAUCUGGGUGUCUUAGUCUGGAGCUUAUUAAAGUCAGUCAUCUUGUGGAGAUGACUUCCAAUCCUCACCCACAGUAUCCAACAGCUUAUGCAGAAUGUCUUCAUCCUCUUUGACUAUGAGCUAAACUGUGUUGCAUUAUAUCACAUUUGCAACAAAUACAGACAACUGUGACAGCUCAGCUGGCACACAGUAGCUUGCAAAAGCAUGGUAACUUGUUUGUGCCCCUGAGCCAUAACUCUGAAAUAGUUCAGAUGCAAACAUGCAGUUUGCGUUCUAGCUAAAUCAAGGACAAAGGCACUUAAAUCCUAAUGUAGAUUGAUGAGAAUUUGAUGGAAGAGGAUAGCUUUUAUUACAGCUCCUUAAGCCUGUCUCUCAUCUAGAUGGAGCUAAGCGCAGUGUGGGAACAUACUGGGACUUGUUUUCAUUACAAAUAGAGCCUGGCUAAAAUCAGAAUCUUUUUCAUGCGUUUUUACUUAUUUGAACCAAAAUGGAAACUGUAGACUUGAUGAGUACAAUUGCACAGGUGCAAAAUUAUUCCCUUCUGGAAUACUGGUCACCUUUGUCCAAGAAAAUAAACAUGAUGCAGAGAAGAGCAACUGGGACCAUCUUAGAAAUGUGGAAAUUCAUAUAUGAGACAGGAGGCUUGUUUUAACUAUCAGAACAGAAGCUGAAAGAUGAUAUGGCUAUUGAAACUACAGGACAUUUUUGGCAUAAGGACAAAUGUGUAUUAACUGGUCAUGAAUAAAUUUUGAAGAGACAUUAGAAGAUGGUUUCAAACUGUCAGAAGAGUGAGGUUUUGAAGUCAGCUUUCCCAUAGGAGUAGUUAUGGCAAGAAACCUAACCACUUUUAUGAAGGAGCACACUAAAUUUAUGAACAGAUUAUGUUACGUGGGAGGCUGAGGUAGCAUGUGGCUGGAUUUGAUGAUCCACAAGAUUCCUUUCAGGCUACUUAAGAGAAAAUCUUAGAGUUUAAUUUUCAACUGCCCUUUAUGCUUUCUCUGUAAGAACUGUAAGGGCAAAAAUAUUCUUACUUUGCACCUAUGACUUUUGUGCUGUUACCACCUUGAACAAACAAUUAAGUGAUUGGAAAACUAUGGAAAUAG
ensembl:lncRNA